UUUGUUUUUCACAUCGCGGCCAACCAAGAGAGAUAUCGUUAUCCGCGUCCGUCUAACUGCCGUUGCUUCCUCCUCCUCCGCCCGCUAACCCUAACCCUAACACUCUCUAAACAUAUCGAUACACCUACCGAUACGUAAUUUGCGGUUUAACCUUCACCGUCCCCCAGACUCUCAACCCUAACAGUUUGUCUGCAUCUCUUGCUUCGUUGCAACAAUGUCUUCGAAACGUUGAAACCAGAGCAUUGACCACCAAUAGUCAGGCAUUGGGAUUGACGCGCUGGAGGUUAAUUGUUUGGAUCAUUUCAUUUUUGCUGAGAGAGAGAGAGAGAGAGA
rnacentral:misc_RNA from 1 species